CUGAGAAGAGUUAAGAAACACAGAGACUGCUAAUUAUCUGACCCAUGGUUAAAUUCC
rnacentral:tRNA from 1 species